rnacentral:rRNA from 1 species
CCUACGGGGGGCAGCAGUGAGGAAUAUUGGUCAAUGGACGAGAGUCUGAACCAGCCAAGUAGCGUGAAGGAUGACUGCCCUAUGGGUUGUAAACUUCUUUUAUAAAGGAAUAAAACGAGGCACGUGUGCCUUUUUGCAUGUACUUUAUGAAUAAGGAUCGGCUAACUCCGUGCCAGCAGCCGCGGUAAUACGGAGGAUCCGAGCGUUAUCCGGAUUUAUUGGGUUUAAAGGGAGCGUAGAUGGGUUGUUAAGUCAGUUGUGAAAGUUUGCGGCUCAACCGUAAAAUUGCAAUUGAUACUGGCAGUCGUGAGUACAGUUGAGGUAGGCGGAAUUCGUGGCGUAGCGGUGAAAUGCUUAGAUAUCACGAAGAACCCCGAUUGCGAAGGCAGCUUACUAAACUGUGACUGACAUUGAUGCUCGAAAGUGUGGGUAUCAAACAGGAUUAGAUACCCUGGUAGUC